UGGGGAAUAUUGCACAAUGGGGGAAACCCUGAUGCAGCAACGCCGCGUGAGUGAUGACGGUCUUCGGAUUGUAAAGCUCUGUCUUUGGGGACGAUAAUGACGGUACCCAAGGAGGAAGCCACGGCUAACUACGUGCCAGCAGCCGCGGUAAUACGUAGGUGGCGAGCGUUAUCCGGAAUUAUUGGGCGUAAAGGGAGCGUAGGCGGAUAAUUAAGUGGGAGGUUAAAGACUCAGGCUCAACCUGGGGGCUGUAGUCCAAACUGAUUAUCUAGAGUGCAG
rnacentral:rRNA from 1 species